rnacentral:rRNA from 1 species
GACGAACGCUGGCGGCGUGCUUAACACAUGCAAGUCGAACGCUGAACCCGCUUCGGUGGGGGAUGAGUGGCGAACGGGUGAGUAACACGUGGGCAACCUGCCCCCGGCUCUGGGAUAACUCCAAGAAAUUGGGGCUAAUACCGGAUGUGACCGCUGGCCGCAUGGUCUGGUGGUGGAAAGGGUUUCCGGCUGGGGAUGGGCCCGCGGCCUAUCAGCUUGUUGGUGGGGUAGUGGCCUACCAAGGCGACGACGGGUAGCCGGCCUGAGAGGGUGACCAGCCACACUGGGACUGAGACACGGCCCAGACUCCUACGGGAGGCAGCAGUGGGGAAUAUUGCGCAAUGGGCGGAAGCCUGACGCAGCGACGCCGCGUGGGGGAUGACGGCCUUCGGGUUGUAAACCUCUUUCAGCAGGGACGAAGCGCAAGUGACGGUACCUGCAGAAGAAGCACCGGCCAACUACGUG